UACGGAGGGUGCGAGCGUUGUCCGGAAUCACUGGGCGUAAAGGGCGCGUAGGCGGCCUGAUAAGUAAGGGGUGAAAUCCUGCGGCUUAACCGCAGGGCUGCCUUCUAAACUGUCAGGCUCGAGCACAGUAGAGGCAGGUGGAAUUCCCGGUGUAGCGGUGGAAUGCGUAGAGAUCGGGAAGAACAUCAGUGGCGAAGGCGGCCUGCUGGGCUGUUGCUGACGCUGAGGCGCGACAGCGUGGGGAGCAAACAGG
rnacentral:rRNA from 1 species